rnacentral:rRNA from 1 species
UACGGAGGGUGCAAGCGUUAUCCGGAUUCACUGGGUUUAAAGGGUGCGUAGGUGGGCUGGUAAGUCAGUGGUGAAAUCUCCGGGCUUAACUUGGAAACUGCCAUUGAUACUAUCAGUCUUGAAUACCGUGGAGGUCAGCGGAAUAUGUCAUGUAGCGGUGAAAUGCUUAGAUAUGACAUAGAACACCAAUUGCGAAGGCAGCUGGCUACACGAAUAUUGACACUGAUGCACGAAAGCGUGGGGAUCAAACAGG